CCUACGGGUGGCAGCAGUGAGGAAUAUUGGUCAAUGGGCGGGAGCCUGAACCAGCCAAGCCGCGUGAGGGAAGAAGGUACAGCGUAUCGUAAACCUCUUUUGUAAGGGAACAAAGGCGGGCACUAGUCCCCUUCUGCGUGUACCUUAUGAAUAAGCAUCGGCUAACUCCGUGCCAGCAGCCGCGGUAAUACGGAGGAUGCGAGCGUUAUCCGGAUUUAUUGGGUUUAAGGGGUGCGCAGGGGGCCUGUUAAGUCAGCGGUAAAAGCCCGGGGCUCAACCCCGGCGAGCCGUUGAAACUGGGGGGCUGGAGUGGGAGAGAAGUACGCGGAAUGCGCGGUGUAGCGGUGAAAUGCUUAGAUAUCGCGCAGAACCCCGAUUGCGAAGGCAGCGUACCGGGUCAAAACUGACGCUGAGGCACGAAAGCGUGGGUAUCGAACAGGAUUAGAUACCCUUGUAGUC
rnacentral:rRNA from 1 species